CCGAAGGAGUUGGGUCGAGAUGAAGAUACAAACCAGUAUGUGCCAAUGCGACCCUUUGGACCAAUGAUGCCAUCUCCUCCGUCGAGUAAUCCGGAGGAGUUCAGCCGAGGUGAACAUACCACGCAGUAUGUGGCAAUGCCACCCCCCUUCGCAAUGCCACCAUUUGUCCCUUCGUUGCCAUCCCCUCCAUCGAGUAAUCCAGAGGAGUUCAGCCGAGGUGAA